GCAGAUUUUAAAAAGCGCAGUGGGCUCCCACCCAUCUUCUGCUCCUUGCUUUUUCACUCCAUCUGGCGUGAAGAUCUUAAUUCUGCGUCUGCACAACGGCGUUCUGCCGGGCGCGCCAGUUUGCUCCUAGUUUUUUUCUUUUCUUUUCUUUUCUUUUUUUUUGAGACGGAGUUUCGCUCUUGUUGCCCAGGCUGGAGUGCAAUGGCGCGAUCUCGGCUCACCGCAACCUCCGCUUCCCGGGUUCAAGCGAUUCUCCUGCCUCAGCCUCCCGAGUAGCUGAGAUUGAAGGCGCACGCCACCACGCCCGGUUAAUUUUUGUAUUUGUAGUAGAGACAGGGUUUCACCAUGUUGGCCAGGCUGGUCUCGAACUCCUGACCUGAAGUGAUCCGCCCACCUCGGCCUCCCAAAGUGCUGGGAUUACAGGCGUGAGCCACUGCGUCCGACCUUAAUUUUUUUUUUAAGACACGGGGUCUCGCUCUGUCGCCCAGGCUGGAGUACAGUGGCAGGACCACGGCUUGCUGCAGCCUCGACCUCUCUGCCCGAAGCGAUCCUCCCUCCUCGGCCUCCAGAGCAGCUGAGACCACAGGCACGUGCCCCCACGCCCGCGGGCGCUCCUAGUUUCCUUGCCGAAAAACAUCGAUGCCACGAUCCUGCUUGCACAUACAUCUAGCGGUGAAGUGGCUGAGGGUAAGGGCAUUUAAAACGGACCUAGGGCCGGGGGCGGUGGCUCACGCCUGUAACCCCAGCACUUUGGGUGGCCGAGGUGGGAGGAUCCGUGAGCCCGCUUGAGUCCAGGAGAGCCUGGGCAACACAGCGAGACCCCGUCUCUACAAAAAAAUACAAAAAUUAGCGGGGCCCCUUGGCGUCUGCCUGCAGUCCCAGCUACAAGGGAGGCUGAGGCAGGAGAUCACUUGGGGCAGAGAGGUCGAGGCUGCAGUGAGCCUUGGUCUCACCACUGCACUCCAGCCUGGACUACAAAGUGAGACCGUCUCAAAACAAAAAACAAAACCAAAAAAACCUGGACAUCAGUGGGGGCUGCAUGACCAUCAGAGGCUCCAGUGGGGGCAUCUCCCCUAAACUCCGUGGCAGAAGACUGGAGGCUUCUUCCUCCAUUCCCAGGGCUCCUCCUCAUCCAUCAGCCUCUCCAGCCCCCUCUGCUGAGGGUCAAGAGCCUUCCCAAAGGCCUGCUUUGGAGCAGACAUGGUACUUUUGGUUGGGUCAAUGCACCCCUUCCCAUGUUUUCCCUGAACAGUCGGCACCCAGAGCAGGGUAACUGACAGCAACGCAACCAGGCUGAUGGAUCACUCUUCUCAGCCUCGCUCCUUCUUGAUCUCCUGGUCUAUUUGUAUGUUAAUCUAUACAGACCAAAAGGGCACACUGCAGGUUUAAUAACCUUCAUUAUGGUUCUUGGCUGCCUGCAAGACUUUUUUUCCAUGUUGGGCAACAUAGCAUUAGAUGACACCAGUUAGAAUUUCGUGGUUACUUCUUUAUGGCUUACCCUUGAGGGGUUAUGUGACUCACCCAAGAUCCCACAGAGAGGCAAGGAGCUGGGGCUCACCUGGGUUUGUGGCCAGAGCCUGCAGGCAACUGUAUUUACAGUGGGCAGGGAGGGUUCCCUGGGCCCCAGGAGGGAGUGGGGCUGGGCUGUUAAGCUUUGGUUCAUGCCAUGCUAACAGUGGUGGUGCCUCAGGACUUACAGCCUCCAUCUUGCAAGCCCCCAACCUUAGGACUAGCCUCUUUCAGGGCUGGUCUCCGUUUGAGAUUUUGUGAGCCACCUGUCCCUAGGGAGCAGUAAAUCAGGGCAGUGAGUGUGGCUAGUUAAAGCUGAGAUGCCCAUGGCCAGGUCCCCAACUCUCUUCCAUAGUCAAAAGGCUUAGAAGGAAGUUGAGGGACUGGGGUUCCUCAUGGAAACAGCGUUUUAUUUCUUGGGGGUAAUUUAUAAGUUUUCUUAGCUGGUUCUAGGCACUAAGCUAAAAGCUACUGGUGACUUUGAAUCCACACUACGCCAUGAGGUCGAUACCAUUACAAUCUGUGUUUUAUGAUUAAGGAGACUGACUCAGGUGGUGAAACGUCUUUCCCCAGGUCAGUGAGGCAAUGGCAAAACCGAGAACUGCUGCCUCAGCCCAUUCUUACCUUUUACCCUUCGCUACCCCAGGCCUGGCUUGCUCCCUCCCCACCCCAAAGCACAGCAUAAUCCUCCUCCACUUCCUGCAAAAGCACCGCUAGAAGUGACAACACAACACGCCACAUCAAAUGCUUACCUCCUCUGACCAGCUCGUUUCUCACGGCAAGUGACGGGGCCACAGGCAGGCACUGUGCACAACCAGAUGCCAUCCGUGGGAAGAGGGUGGAGUGCUUGAUGCUGCCGCAUUUGGAAGAUGCUUCUUAGCCACGGGUUUCAAUCCCUUCUCUACCCACACAGCUUCUGUUAAGGCAUUUCAGCCGUGCCACUCCUAAUUUCCGUGUGAACUCUGUAAAAUUAGAAUUCUUUGAUCUGUAGGUCUCUCUGGUCAAAUGACCAAGAAACGAGGGAUGUACAACCUGAGAAAGCACGUUCAG
rnacentral:lncRNA from 1 species